UACGGGGGGAGCAAGAGUUGUUCGGAUUUACUGGGCGUAAAGGGCGCGUAGGCGGUCAGCACAAGUCAGUUGUGAAAUCUCCGGGCUUAACUCGGAAAGGUCAACUGAUACUGUGCGACUAGAGUGCAGAAGGGGCAACUGGAAUUCUCGGUGUAGCGGUGAAAUGCGUAGAUAUCGAGAGGAACACCUGCGGCGAAGGCGGGUUGCUGGGCUGACACUGACGCUGAUGCGCGAAAGCCAGGGGAGCGAACGGG
rnacentral:rRNA from 1 species